CCAGUGGGCAUUUGUUGUUUAUGUGACGCUCCUUCAAAUAUUCCGUUUGAUUUUGAAUGGAAUCUACUUAAUUGUGAUAUAAUCAAAAAUGUCUCCCUCCAGAUCUAAGAAAAGCGGUUCAAGACGCUCUUCUAUUCUUAAGCUUCCUAAACACCGCCAAGAUCUACAAAAUUUAAAUGAUAACAAUUCAUCGAAUGACAAUAGUCCUGCUAAUACAUUAAAAUUUAAAAGACGAGUUAGCUUUGCAGAAAAGAAGCAUGUCAAAGAAUUUUGUAAUUCCGUGGAGCAAGGAACAGUAUGGGAUAGUACAUAUGAAGAACAUGAUUUGAGUAACUUUAAAGUGCCAGAUACUUCUAAUCAAGAAGAACAUAUUGUUCAUAAAGAAAACAUUGUUUAUUUUAAUCAAGAAAAUAAUAUACAAUUUGUAUCUAAUGUAAAAGAUAAUGGUACAGAGAGUAGGGAUAUGUUGUUAAGUCAGCCUGAAAUUUCAGUACAUUAUAAUAACUUAAAUGCUACAUCUAUUCAGGAUAUUCAUAUGGAAUUUACUGAAGUUGUUUCUCACUCUGUAUAUCGCGAUGUAAAUUAUAUUCAAAACAAUAAGUUAGUGGAAACACUUCAGAAUUCAUCAAUGGAAUUGACACAACCAAUUUAUUCUUCUAUAAAUACGUUACAAAAUUUUCAACAGAAGCAUGAUAUUCAAAGGCUUAAUUCUCAGUCCAAAUUAAAUAACUUAAAUGUAACAGCAGUAGAUUCAAAUGCAUCAAUGGAAUUAACUGUAGCAGUAUCAUCUAUCAUUAAACCUGUUGAUAAUGCUAAUAAAGAAAAUUUACCAAUAUAUUCAGAAAAUAACAGAACCAGAAGGUUUGAUAAUGUUUCAAUGGAAAUAACUACACCAGUACCCUCAGUGCCAGUAGUACUACAUAGACUGCAGGAACCACUUGAUAAUAUUCCAAUGGAAAUAACUGCACCAGUAUCAUCUAUCAUUAAACCUGUUGAUAAUGCUAAUAAAGAAAAUUUACCAAUAUAUUCAGAAAAUAACAGAACCAGAAGGUUUGAUAAUGUUUCAAUGGAAAUAACUACACCAGUACCCUCAGUGCCAGUAGUACUGCACAGACUGCAGGAACCACUUGAUAAUAUUCCAAUGGAAAUAACUGCACCAGUAUCAUCUAUCAUUAAACCUGUUGAUAAUGCUAAUAAAGAAAAUUUACCAAUAUAUUCUGAAAAUAACAGAACUAGAAGGUUUGAUAAUGUUUCAAUGGAAAUAACUACACCAGUACCCUCAGUGCCAGUAGUACUGCACAGACUGCAGGAACCACUUGAUAAUAUUCCAAUGGAAAUAACUGCACCAGUAUCAUCUAUCAUUAAACCUGUUGAUAAUGCUAAUACAGAAAAUUUAUCAAUAUAUUCUGAAAAUAACAGAACCAGAAGGUAUGAUAAUGUUUCAAUGGAAAUAACUACACCAGUACCCUCAGUGCCAGUAGUACUACACAGACUGCAGGAACCACUUGAUAAUAUUCCAAUGGAAAUAACUGCACCAGUACCAUCAGUGUCAUCAGUACUACAUAACUUGCAGCAACCAGUUACUAAUAAUGAAAUAGGAACUUGUGAUUCAGUGAUACCUGUUGGAAAUAAAAUUACCAUUUUUCAUGAUAAUUCAAUGGAAAUUACUAGUGGUGUGAAAACACAGGCUAAUAGAGAUACAAAUUGCCAGGUUGACGAAGGCAAUAGAUCACUAGUAACAGAAGAAGCAGGUUUUAAGUAUGAUAAUGAAAAAACUAAAGUACUAAGCAUGUCUAUGGAAGUGAUUGAAGCUAUGAAUAUGCAUUCCAUAGCUAAAAGUCAAGAAAGAAAAGAAAGAAAUCGCAAAAUUACAGAUGCUUCUAUUGAAAAUGAUUUGAGAAAAGUAAGGUCUUAUUUAGACUGCUGUGAAGCAUCAACUAAUCCUGAUAAAACCAGUAUGUAUGAUAAUGAAGUAAUGGAGUUUACUGAAGCUAUAAAAACUUCAUCUAAAAAGAUGCACGAUAAAACAUCACUUACUGCAAAUAAAACCAACAUUUAUGAUAAUGAAGCAAUGGAAUUUACUGAAGCUUUAAGAACCUCACCUAAAAAUAAUUUAACAAAUACUGAACAUGUACAAAAUAGUCAGUGGAGUAAUGAUGAAGACAAUAGUGUAAACUUGGUAUCAAAUAAGACUACCAUUUGUCAGAAUAAUUCAAUGACAAUUACAAACAUAGUAUCACCAUCUAGUAUGAAAGAUGACUUUAAAAAUGUAACUGAAGAUCAUGAAUCAAACAUAAAUAAUCCAGAAUUGAUCAAAACAGUUGAAUAUCCAAAUAUGUCUAUGGAUAUUACAGAAGAUGCACUGGUAUUACAAUGUCAUCUUCCAAGAGAGAACAGUGUUAUAAAUUCUGUUUAUGUUAAAGAACCAGUAUUACUUGAAAAUAAAGAUAAAGAUUUGUUAGAUUCGAAUGUAGUACCUGGUAAUAUCUUAAAAGACAUUACUGACAUAGUAGUUCCAUCUCUGUCAGAAUCGAAUUUAAUUAUGGACAAAGAUGAUUCUUUACAAUAUUUAAAAAGCAUUGCUACAAAAACAUCUGCUUUAACAGAACAUGAAAAUUCUGUUAGUAGUCCAUCUGACACAGUUUCACUUGAAUUAAAGGAACAAGAUGCUGAUGCUUUGACUUUAAAAGAAAAUAUCAGGAGGGAAACUUAUGUUCUUCAUAGCCCUAAAUUUCAUGAUCCUAGUAUUGUAAUUCCAGAGUUCCAAUCACAAAAUACUAUAUCAAAUCCAAGAAGAACAUACAUUAUUCAGCCAUUAAAUAUAGAUCAUUCUUGUAACAAAGAGAAUGAUGAAACAAGCGAUAAUGUCAAUAAUGAGAUAAAGAAUGAUAGUUUUUGUUACACAUCAAAUGAUAAAACAAGCUGUACAAGAAGCAGUCUGAAUAACACAGGCAACUUACAAAACAAUGAUGAUGAACAUUUAACAGAAGAAGAUGUUAUGUUUUUCAAUAACAAUUUAGAGGAAUUGCAUACCAUUACACCACCAUCAUUUCUUUGUUUGGAAGAUUCAGAUUCAGAUACACUUGGAGAUGCUGACGUAGAAGUGAAUCUUAAUUCCAAUAAUAUUAAAAAUUCAGAGGCCAGUGAAGAAAAAAAUAUCUUAGAAAAUAGAUGUAAUUUAGAAAAUAUAAGUGAUAUUCAUGAAGAAACUUUAAAGACGGAUGAAGUAGUUGGUGUACAAAUUGGACAAAUAAAUAAAGAUUGUUCAGAAGUACAUUUAAGCCCACGUUCAGAAUCUCAUGAGUCGGUUGAACAAAAAGAUAUGUCGAUCGAAUUAGAUCCUUUCUCUUCACUAAUGAACAAACUGAAAGUUUGUGCUGAAAGUGACGAAAUUAUUUGGGAAGUCUACCAUGAAAGUAUUGAAAGGAACCUGUUUGUAAUUGGUUUUGUAUCUUCUUCAUUGUUAGUAGUAAUUUAUUUAAAGGAUAACUUUGAUGCUUUAGGUGAUGAGCUUAUUAAAGAAAUCAAAAUAUAUUCUCGCCUGGCAGACGAUGCUGACGCAUUAAUAAGCUUGGUUCAUCGAAUAAUCAUGGAAAAAUUAGACGCUCAAGUAUUGGCGGAUUUAUGCAAAAAUUGCGGGGAUAUUUUUUUAAUACUAGAUAACAUUUCAAAAGAAGUAAAACUAGCUAUGGAUUUUAUGUUCGAUGUGGAACGUAUAAGAGACAUAAAUUUGAUGGAAAUAACUCGUGACAGCGUAUCUUUCAUAGCAUUUGCCAAAAGGAAAGACAUUAUAUUGAGGGUCACAGUAGACAUUAAACCAUUUCACAAAAUUGAAUCUAAAGAUAUUUCUGUACAUUGUAGAUUAGGGUCUGUAAGAGAGGAGGAUGUUAAACUGUUAAUAACGAAUAUAAAACGAGACCAUAAAUUUUUAAGGAGAUACAUAAGUGACGUGAAAGAUUACAUAUACUUGAUGGAAGAAUCUGUUAAUAUAAUUAAAAGAUGAUAUUGUAUUGUUAUAUCAUCUUUUAUAAAAACACCGUUCUCAAUGUGUGUUACCGCCUAUGGAAAUACUUUAAAUAGAAAAAUGAGAAUUGCACUAUAAAAUGAUUCAUAGAUACUGAGUACCUGAGUGAAGUUUUUUGUUUUCUUACAGACUAAACAUAAGAAUCGUGGGCGGUGCAUGAGUGUUCCCUUUCUUUUUUAAACAUCCGCACCGUAAAGGUGCGCAAAUGUAAAGUUACGAGUAAAGGUCGAUCAACUAGUUCUCCGAUACAGCCGGUUCAGUCGAUGCAGCUUUUUGUGCAAGCAUUUGUAGUCUGUCUCGAUAGUAUCGUGUGAACAACCGGCUUUCUCAGAAUCGUAUGACUUUCCGUCUUGUUCUCCAGCGUGGUCAUUGUUGAUUAAUUUUACAAUUAAAAAUUGUACACAAAUUGGAUUUAUUAAGAAUUCAAAUCGCUUGAAUUCCAAACCGAGGGACAAGAUAAGGAUGACACAAUUACUGGUAGUUUAUGAAAACAUCAUUGAUACAGACAUCGAUGUAAGUUACAAAAAUUACACAGGAUUUUGUAUACAAUGAACUCUUCGAUCAAGUUGUUGCCGGAACCAGGAGAUUCGCCUCUGUUUGACCUUUCUCAUUGGAUAAAAAUCAUUUUUAAUAUGGCAGUGAAAGAUACUUCUUAUGUAUGUAUCAAAGAUUUUAGCAAGAGCAGUGCAACGUUAAAACAUAGUCAUGGAGAACGUCGAGCAAUGCGGAGGACUGGAAUUCACGAAACUUCCGGUAGUUGUACAGAGAAAUUGCUGGAGCAUGGAGGACAAAAAAGCAUUCGCUGGGCAUGUGAUACUGUUUAAGAUGACGAAAUAUUAUCGCAAUGAUUUUGUUGCAACAUGUACCACAGAAGAGAACAACCGACGUGUUUAAAAGUCUAAUAACUUUUAAUAAACGUUUACAAGGUGCUUCUUUUAUUCAUAGUAAAGUACUAGAGGGAAAUUGAAUGCUAUUCAGUCCUACUUUUCACUCGAUAACAUUAUAUAUACACAAGGUUCGUUAAAGAAGUCAAACUUUCUUUCAAUGUAGCUACGCCAGCCGCAUUUGCGUGGGCGUAAAGGCCCGGUUUUACGUGAUUUCGUAACGACGGCAGACCGAUUUCCAGUAUCAAAAACCAUUUCAUGAAGAUCCCGAAGACCUUCGAGCCUUGCUCCCUCUCUCUUCGUCCUCUCUCCGACUUCUAGAACGCCCUUGUGUACACAGAUGAAGUCUGGUCACAUGCGAAGAUCGCUUGUGAAAUUGCUGCUGGUUAUGCUAAACAACGAAGAAUGGGAAACGAACUGUACCUUGACAAUGGACGAUAAAUACUAUACUCUCGGGUGUUAGUAUCUGACGGCCUGAUCUUAAGUACCUUUAAUCCCAAUGGAAGAAACAAUCUAAAUGGCCAUCAUUAUCAUGGAUCCCUUUAACUGUUCCUGGAUCUAUUCACAUUCCUGCUUUCUUCCAUAAUGAGUAUGAGUUUCAUUGAAGACUCGAGUGAUCAAUGAUCAACAAGCGCGCUGAAUUCGAAAAAGCCGCGGCUACGAGUAAUCCCUGCGGUCUUUGGACCAGGUUGAAAUAUCCUAGAGCGCGGAUAAGAGGGACAGGGUUGACGGAGAACGUCGACGAAUCAGGCGGGCAACCUGUAACGGUCGACGUCGAUCCGACGAUACCUGCUCAGGACUAUGAGAACGGAUAGCAGCGGGAGCAAGAGCGGCAGCGAGGCAAGUGGGCGUAAAAGCUGGGAGAGAGAACGUCGUCCCGUGUUCCAUACAUGGCUAUGCUAUGUGGAAACCGAGAGACACAGAGAGACGGACGCACCGGUGGAGUCCCCACCGUGUGGACACGGCGGAGGCGACGUUUUCUCGGCACGAAUGCCCACCGCAUGCUUCGUGCACAGUAUGUGCUAGCACCACGUCGUCGUACGAUCGUUCUUCUUUCCGUUUAUUCGACGACAAUACCCCGACUUGAUCGCGAUAUAUCUUCGUACGGGUGACGAGGGAGUAAACGGAACCGACUGCUUCGGAAGAUGUACCCGCGAACGCGUCACUGGCGUGGGUGUUACCGUUACAUUGAUCUAGUCUGAAUUACAUACGUACGAUUUCGAAGUUGAAGAGUCCGCGCCUAUGGCCAAGUGACAGCUCUCUCAGUUUGGCGAGCGUGCGAUUGGUCCGCUUUGAGUUUAUCCUCUUCGUCGUACACUUGUGUCUGUAUGUGUAUGUGGUGCCUGUGCGAGACCAGGCAACGUGGGUUGGAUGCGUGAGUGCUCGUGUUGCGCCUGCGUGAGUGCUACGAGGUACCAGCCGCGUGUGCGUUCGCCACGCGUGAAGAGAAGCCGCAGGGGCCGCAAAACCCGGACUACAGGGACACACACACCGCCGUAGGUAUGUGUUGUGCACGAGUACCAAAUAUCCUAACAUUUAGGAUCUAUGUUUUUAUCAAGGUAUACCUCACUUUGCUUAACGCUGAAUUAAUCUUAAUCAUUGCUAUUCUAUGUUUGUUUAUUAACAAGUUUACUUUACAUGUAUACAUUGUUAUAGGUGACUUAGGAUUGAUCGAGUAUCUUGUUUAAAAAAUAAAUAGAACACGAAUAGUGUUGUAAUGUUUCAUGUGGGUUGAUUCGUUUCAAUUAAUGAGCAUGUUUCUUCACUUUCAUCUUAUAUACAUGUUUAUCAAUGGAUUCACCGUAAGUGUUAAUCAUUCAUAAGAUAGACUCUGCUCUGAAUGGUCAAUUUAUUACUGAGAUUCAUAACUAUCAAAAAAUUGGAUUAUUUUUUAAUAUACAAUCUUUCAGGAUUUA